AUGAAGUCCUCGGUUUCAUCUCCUGAUGCCUCUGUGCUUAAGCAAUGGAACUUUGAUCAAGAAACAUCUAGAUAUUUUCUUGGUGAAAUGAUAAAGGAAGCAUCAACAAAGGAUGAAGUUAUUCGAGCAAUGGUUGGAGAGAUGCAAAAAAAGUUUGAUAAGUAUCGGAUGGAAUCAUAUUUGCCAAACUGUAUACCUGUGAUCCUUGAUCCACGAUUUAAACUUUGCUUCAUCGAGUUUCAACUAGAACAAACUUUUGGUCUAGAUGUACUUGCUUAA
rnacentral:rRNA from 1 species